rnacentral:lncRNA from 1 species
GAUAUUCAAAGUAAUAAUUUGGGGGCAUAUUUAUGCUAGAUGUGGAGAUUAAAAGGAACUUGGUUUUGUUCAGGAGGUGGGUAAGAAAGUCUCUGUUAGUGGUUUGGACAAAGAUAGAUGGAGUGUGGAAGGUGUUAAAAGUGUAGGAACAGAAGAGUUGUGUAUUCUCAUGUGCGGAAGGUGUUAAAAGUGUAGGAACAGAAGAGUUGUGUAUUCUCAUG